rnacentral:rRNA from 1 species
UACAGGGGGGGCAAGCGUUGUUCGGAAUUACUGGGCGUAAAGGGUCUGUAGGUGGCCAACUAAGUCAGACGUGAAAUCCCUCAGCUUAACUGGGGAACUGCGUCUGAUACUGGAUGGCUUGAGUGUGGGAGAGGAAUGCGGGAUUCCAGGUGUAGCGGUGAAAUGCGUAGAUAUCUGGAGGAACACCGGUGGCGAAGGCGGCAUUCUGGACCAUAACUGACACUGAGAGACGAAAGCCAGGGGAGCAAACGGG